GGGCCCGUAGUUUAGCCAGGACAAAAUUCUCCGCUUCGGACGGAGCGAUCGUGGGUUCGAAUCCCACCGGGCCCG
rnacentral:tRNA from 1 species